rnacentral:sRNA from 1 species
AUCAACUGAAGCACAGGAAGUGCUUUAGAGAUCACGGAUGAUCUACCAUUCGCCAGGAGGCUACUGACAGGAUGUUGGAAUGGUCUUGAUGGAAAAGAACCCGCUUCGGCGGGUUUUU